GCGAGAGCGGCUGAAAGAAUUGUCCCGGUGGUCUAAUGGGUUGGCACCCCGCGGCGGGCAUACAGACAGGAGGACAGUGAGGAGAGAACAGAGAGGACGCUGAAGGACAUGUUACCUGAAGUAGGGGACUUGCAGCGGUCCUCUGACGUGGCUGAGCCCUCGUUGAUGUCGCAGAGACCUGCAGCAGAGAUCGCACAGUUCGAGCCAUUACAUACAAAAUAAGGCGAAGCAGAAGGAACCAUUAGUGUUCAUUCUGUGUGCAUAUAACACUACCUCUUUUUUUUUUUUACCGUUACUGCCAGUUCAGAGAGAACUUCAGAUUACGCCAUGUUUUUGGGAGACUGGACGAGACAGUAUGUGCAGAUGGAUGAUUUCCAUGUCUAAUGCUCUCUUCAGUUAACGGGCCGUAGGAGGAAUUGAUCGCCAGACUUGUGAUCUGCUGAGGAGGCUCUCCACUCACCCACACUAACUGGACCACCAAAUCUACCUGAUAACCUGGAGACUGCUUCAGAGGAGUACUGCGCACUCUGGAGAAGAAGAAGACAGAGUGGGAUGGAGAGGAACAGGGACAGCAAGAAAAAAAACAGAGAGGAGGAAAAAAUGAAAGGGAGAGACACACCAACAGAAAAAAAAAAGGUUUCAUAAAGAUUAU